rnacentral:tRNA from 1 species
UGCCUUAUAGUCAAUAAUGAUAUAAAAUUGCAAAUUUUAAGGUAUAAUAUAUUAUUAAGGCUU